rnacentral:lncRNA from 1 species
GGAAAAUCACUUCUGAUUAGAUUACAAAAGUUAUUUUAUUUCCUUCUCUUUCACUUCUUCACUUUGACAAAGCCAACUGUCAUUUGUGAACUGCCCUUUGGCAAGGACUAAGACUGGCCUUCAAUCAACAGCCAAUGAAGAAGAGACCCUUAGUUCAACAUCCUGUAAGCCAUGGAAUCCUACAAAAGACUGCAUCAGGUGAUCUUGCAAGCAGAUUCACCCUCAGUCAAACCUUGAGAUGACUGCAGCCUUGAGAAAGACAAAGCCGGGAGAGUAUCCAGCUUAGACGUGCCUGCAUUCCUCACCCACAAAAAAUGUGGUAGAAUGUUUUGGGAACAAUUAUUACACAGUGAUAGAUAACUAUUGCAUCUAGUAGAUUUGAAAGGUCUCAUUAGACUGAACAAAUCCAGAUCUAGAUAAAUGCUGCGAAAACACCAUGGCUCAUGUGAAUUUAAAAAAUGGACUAAAUAACAAGCAAUUUAUAAAAUAAACUGCUUUUACAUAUAUAAACACAGAUUAACCUGAACACAAAAUUGUUAGUAGAACCACUAAACUACAAAAAUUGUGUGUACAGAUGAUUUUAUUCCUGUACAGUAAAGUAGCAAAACAUUAUAUCUUAUAUGUAAACAUAUAUGUAUAUAGCAAAAAUAUUACAAAAUUAAUCAAUGGUCUGAAAACCAACACCUGGAUAGUGCCUCAUUGAAGAAUUACUGAGAAAUCAAAGAAUGCAACCAUUCAUUUAUAAUAUUUUAGAUUUUUAAAAUAAUAGGUUUGAUGCAAAUGUAUCUACAUGCUAAGUUUUCUUACAUCCUGGUAGGUUAUGCACGGGUAUUCCUUAUAAUGUGUUAUGUUUUUCUUACUCAAAAUAUUUCAUAAUUUUUGAAAAAAUAAUUUUAAUAAGGAAAAGUUAAAAUAUUAUAAAUGUUAUACUUUAUUAUGAAAUUGUUAUAAAUGCCAUUAACAUAAAAAAUAUUGGAGAUAAUAGCACCUGCCUUUGGUUUAGGGAAGUUAAAAGAAGAUCAAAUUAGAUACAGAUCUUGUUUAUUGUAGUAAUCUGAUGACAACAGAAUCAGCAACCAUAAGACAUAAAAUAAUUUCCAAGACAUUAAACAAACAAAUCAUUUAUAUGGAGUAAUGUAAACAAAUCAUUUAUAUGUCUAUUGCACACAACGUAUCUCUAAACUAUGCCUCUGAGACAUCCAGUAAAUAGUAGAAAGCAGACUAAAUUUAUCAGAUUUUGUUAUUGUUGGAAAAAACAAUUUAAAAUGACAUAUAAUCCACAAAAAAUAGAAAAUACAUUAUUCAUCCAUGUAAAUCUAUCUAGAAAUAUUAAUAUUAGUAUGCUAAUUAGAGAGUAACAUAUUCAAAUGUUUAGUCAUCAGAAAUGCGAUAAAUAACAUUAAAUAUGGGUAAUCCUAGAAAUUUUUUUUUUUUUUUUUUUUUUUUUUUUUUUUUUUUUUUUU